GGCCAGCUAGUUUUAUUUACUUUGUAGUCAUGUGUGCACGUACACAAGUGGAGUUGCAGCAGACUGCGUGGCCCUCCCUCUGCCUGGGCGCUCUUCUCUAACAAAGGAGGGCAGUCCAAAGGCCACUGAAGAAGUCCACGAAUCUUCCUCAUUGCCUGCAGUAAGCUUUGGAUCAGGCCCCAGUGAGCCAGCAAGAACGUGCCGUUCAGCGUGCUAUAACAAGUCCACCGGCAUGUGCUGAUAGCUGCAGGAGAGCUGUUAGAAGUACACCCCUAAAAAUGAGGAAGAUCUUGGCUGAGGAGGCAGCAGCUUCUGGCCCAGCCCUCACCCCCCACACAACGCGUGAAACACACCGGAGCCUCUUAAAUUAGGGAACAGAGCAGCCCUGCACCCAUUCUUUCCUCCAUGCGAUAUCACAGGAAAGCUGGAGAGUAUUGUAUUACUCUUAAUACACUUUGUGAUCGUGUAAGUCUCCCAAAUCCCACUGCCAGUAAGCUCUGGUGAUUAAACAGCUUACUGAAGGGAAACCAUAGCUAAUACUUUCUACCCUUAUCAAAGUGUAUUGCUAAUGAGGACUGGGAAAACUCUCAGUGUUAAUACAACAUCUGUAGAUUAACAUUAGCUUACUCGUGCUUUCACAGUCAAUGGCUAAAAUUCAGUCAAUCACUUGGAUUCACGUCACACUUCUAAUUGGUGUUACGGUACAUCAGUCUCAGUAUUUCCCCAGCAGAAGUACACCGGGAGUGGAAAAGGCAACAUCAAGAGCUGGAGGCCAAAGAAGAAAUUUGCAACAAGUUGCUUGGACAUCAUGAUUUAGGAACCUUACAGGAGGUCUGGGAACAGAGGUUCGGGGCUCCUAAUCAUAGAAUCAUGGAAUCAUUACGUUUGGAAAGACCACUAAGAUCACCUAGUCCAGCCCUCAGCUCAUCCCCACCAUGCCCGCUGAGCCCCAUUGCAUCAUGCAGUGCAACACCUAUUCUUUUCUUGAAAACCUCCAAGGACUGUGACCCCACCACCUCCUUGGGCAGCCCGUUCCUUCUUCCUUAUGGAAAAUGGAAAAACAGAAAUCAAUGAAGGACGUGACAGAAAAGGAUAAGCAGCAUGCAUCUGAUGAUGAGAAGGAGGGAAGCAUGGUAGGGCGAGAGACAAAGUGCAGCUGGCACAUUAAAAAGCAAUCAGAGGAAAAGAAACCAGUAGUUCAACUGAACAACCACCAGUGUCUUUAAUUCUAUCUAGUUUUACUGUGGGUGCAUGCUGUGCAACACUGCUUUGAAAUCUCUGAGAAACAGAUGUAGUUAACAACUCUUCCGCAGUGUAGAAGGGAAGAAAUUCUGUACUAAUUGACAAAGGAGUAAGAAGAUUCUUUUUAAAGAAGGGAGAAUAGUUUCAGUGUGCCCUCCAGGACACUAUAGGAUGGUCUCAGAUUCAAGUACAAACUCAUCUGCUACAUGGAAGCCUUGAACUCCACAAAGAUAAAUCCGUCACACAUCAGUAAAUGCAGAAAUGACAGAGAGAGCAAGACAUCCCUUAGCAACCCAACUGCUUUCCAUGCCUGGAAGACUGGCUCCUGUCAGCACAAGUAACAUAGAUGACCCAGAGCAUGUUCUCUCACCAACACAAGUAAGCUGCAUACCAAAAAGUCUGCCCUUCCCAGAAGCAUCUCUGUAAAGAGAAUGGAUGUGAACACAGACUCUGCGAGCCUAUGCCAUCUUCUGUCCCAGAUAACUCCAGAAUACUCCCAGCUCUGCAGAGCAGAGUUUUCUUGAAAGAAAUUGGGAAAAGAACCGAGACUGCCAGAGGAUGGAAACCAAAUUAAUUUCUGAAGAAACAGGUUCAUCUCUUACUGGCAUCUGCAGAGUUGCGUCAGCUUGUUGCGGAUAUGGAUUAGGCCUUGUGCUUCUGAGAAUCCAGCUUUGUUUCAAUUCUUCUGAGCACUUCCUUCUUUCCUUCUGACUGCACUUCAGUUUUGAUCCAAGUAUCAAAGAGGCUCAUGCAGCAGCUAACUUGCACCAAACACAGCAUAAAUUUCUACUGACGGCUUACCUAGAUGACGUGCAGCUCAAUGGAGACCAAAAAGGGUAAGGUCUCAGCCUCUUCCCUUACUGCAGUAACAAAGCACCUGGGGGUGCUCACUUUUUUUCUGUCUCGUAAACUGGUUGCCAUGGCAAGUUACUUGUGUUGCACUGUCAGGUAGUAAAAGGAAACAAUUUGCAUCCUCUAGAAAACUCAGAAUUUUAGAACUCUGUCGCCUAUCAGUUUGCUUUCUGCCUUGACACUGCUUAUCCCUGAAGCUCGGCGAGAGAUGAGCAAGAACAACAUCCCAGCAACAGAAGUACCUGAAGGUUUAUUGAGCCUGGUGUGUCUGCAGAAGGAAUAAAUUAAGUAAUCAUGAAGAAUAUGGUGCUGUGGGAAAGCACGUCAGAAUCCCUGCUUUUCUCAGCGUGCUCUCAGAGAUAAUGAUAUGGAGAGCACACACACUGAUACAAUCUUCCUUCUGAACACUUCAAGAAAGUUUCAAUUACAGAGAGAAGGAAAACACAUCCAGCAAAACAGACCAACAGACUAUCUGAAUGUAGAGACGGCACAAAAGGCACAGAAGGAACCAGGAAGUACUCAGCAUAAUUAGGACGAGGCUGGGUGAGAUUGUGGAUAUGGCAAAGGAACAGAAGACGCAGGAAAACAACAAAAGGAACCUGACACCACUCAUCUACCCUCUGCCUACUGAGAACUUAUACCCUUCAGCUGGCCUUCGUGCAGACUUUCUUUGCUGAGAGCAAAAUUGGGAUGUAUUCAGAUAUCCCCGUGAAGCUACAAAAGUGCAGUUGUUUGCCUUGCUGGUGAUACCGAUGAUCACAAGAAGUUUCCAUGGGUUUUUUUUUUGUUUUGUUUUUUUUUACAGGGCAAAAGAGAGUUGAGUUCAAGCUGGCAAUGACGUGGGUGAUCCUACUAGAGAAACCUCGAAAAAAGAUCAACAUCUCAAAACUUCUGGAGAUAGCCUUGACCUGAUGAGUGAGUUCAGUUGUUAACUAAGUUGGUGGCCUAAGUUUCAAUGUUACAAACUUGUGUUUGUAUGUUUUCACGUCACACUAACCUCCUUCUUGCAGAGGCUGAAGAGGAAAUGACAACAUCAAGGAAUUAUUUUUUGGGGGUCACAGCACUUACAGAAAUCAGUAACAUAUCUUUCCAGGGCUAAAUUUAGACUGCUGUUUUAAAACGUCACAUGAUUAUCGAUGGGAGAAGGAAGUCCGUGAGUUAUGGCCUCCUACAUGCAUGCUACAGUUUGGUGAAGAUGAUGAGUUAAAACUGAAGGCACUGGAAUGACAGAGCAGCCCUUCAACCCCACUGCAG
ensembl:lncRNA